AUACGAUGAAAUUUAUGAAUGGAAAAGGUAAGUAGAUAAAUUUUCUAAAAUAUCGAAUCACGUGUAGUAAUUAGAUAAAUACUUACAUAUAUUUCAUAUAGGAAGUAAAAAAUAUAUUUAGGACCGACCACAUCAAAGGGGCAAAGAAGAAAGGCCAGUGCGUCGAAGAACAAUGAACAUGAUUUCAUCAAUUGGUUACGAAAGGAGUUGGAGUUUGUUGAGGGCGAGUUGACAUUGAAACGAUUAGUAGAUGGCCCUACAUUUAAGGCAAAAUGCUAUAACAAGUAUCGCGUGAAUGGUUUUGUAUUCUCUCCAAGUAAAUAUGAGACUACUAAGUCAACACAAAAUAGUGGGGUGUCCAUGAAAGCCAUCACUAAAUACAGGGCAAGUGCUAAAGAUAAGAAUUACAAAGAAGAUGAGGCUACCUAUUAUGGAGUAGUAAAACAGAUAAUCGAGUUGGAUUACGCUGUCUUCCGUCAAAAGGUAUUUUAUUAUAAUUGGGUCAGAGUGGAAGACAAGACCAAUGGAUGCAUUAUUGAUCCCAAGUCAAAUUUGGUAAUGGUAAAUAUGGAGAAAUUGAAAGGACAUGAGAAGGAAGGAGAUGAACCAUUCAUACUUGUAUCCCAAGCAAGUCAAGUAUUCUACUCUAAGGAUCAAACAAGGCCUAGAUGGUAUGUUGUUUUAAUGUCACCAAAAAGAUUGACGAAAGACAUGGACACACUUGAAGAUCUGACUCUAUUUUUCUCUUCUGGGGGCGAUAAUACAAAUUUAGAAAAUAUUAUAAAGGAAAUUGGCUAUGAGUUUUAGGUAAUUUUUUUGUUAUCAUAUUUUGUGUUGAUUCAUUUGACAUUUUAUCUGAUGUAAAAAAUAUCUUGAUAAAUGAAUUUAUAUUUAUAUGAUGAUUUCUUCUUCUAUAAAUGUGUGUCUAUAGGUGAGCUUGGAUAUGUCAAUAGCAGAGGAGAACAUGUCAACUUCACAAGCACACGCAUAAAAAAAUAUAGUUAAAUACAAGUCCUUCAUUACCUUAUCAUUUAAUACAUUGUUUUAAAUAAUGCAGGUAAAUACGACGUAAGUUUUGUAUGUGUUAGGAACUUCAUCGUCGUUAAAAAAUAAGCCCGUCAUCACUUUAAAUGCACUUGGACUACCCGUGGGUGAACACUCACAUAGGUUGGCUACAAAAAGUGGAGAGCUGGUUCGCACCCAUGUCUCUAUUGCAUUCAAGAAUUGGCGUAUAGUACCAAAGAAUAAGAAAGAAGAACUUUGGAAGCUCUUACAGGAUGAGUUUGUUAUUCCUCAGUCUUACCAAAAGCUAUGCUUUAAACGCAUGUCCAAUAUGUUUAGGAAGUACAAGACUAAAUUGAGGAUUAGGUACCUCGAUCCCCAUUCAAAUCAUGAUUCCAAAUUAAACAACCGUCCACCAAGAGUUAAGGCCUGAAGAUUGGGAAAUGUUCAUUGAACAUAAUUCAGAUCCCAAAACUAUAGAACAAAGGAAAAAAAUGCCGAGAAUAGGAAAAAGCUAAAGAUUUACCAUACGAGUGGCAGGCAUAGCCAUACGAGAAUCGAGGAAGAAAUGCAACGCCAAAAGAAAGAUGGAGACACCCCGAUUAGUAGGACUGAAGUAUGGAUUAAAACUCAUACAAGAAAGGAUGGUUCUAUUCACAGUAAUGUGGCUUCACAUGUGGGGUCGUGUUCGAGGUGUUGGGACCACCAUUUCCCAAUCACAAAUCAGGGGGUCUGCUGCAUCUCUUGAAAAAAAUCUCUAUGUAUAAAGGAAAAAUAGAGGAGCAAUCGUCCACAAUUCAAGAGCAAUCAUUCAAAAUUCAAGGACUAUCUUCUAAAAUAGAUUUUCUUACGGACCAAGUUGGGGGUAUCAAAGAGAUGCUUCAACAGCAACCCAUGGAUUCGGUUCAACGGGAGAAUCUACAAUUGACUGGUGGACCUUCAGUUGGGAAUCAUCAAUGUGUAGAGAGAAUGCGGCCAUGCAAGUUGUACUCUUGGCGUAAAGAGUUCAUUGCUUAAGGGCGAGUUCUUUUGGCAGAUAGGCCCCAAAUGAUUCAUGGCAAACCUCUUCAGGAAGAGUUUUACAAGGUUGCCAUUGAUAUCAUUAUUAAAGGAGACGCCGAAUUGCUCAAGCCAGACGGAUAUCAUUCGACUUUAGGCAAAAUUGGAAUUGGCUCAUUUGUUCCAUGACAUUCUUGCUUUACUGAGUUCACCGAUUAGGGACAAUAGUCUAACACUUUUUGGACAAUUCACCUUUUUGGACUGUAUGUUUUGAUUGUAUUUGUGGACUACGUCCCAAGUACAUCUUGUAUAGCUUGAUUAGUUGUUUCUACAGACUGGACAUGAUAGAUGUAAUGCAGGUUUUGGAGAAAAUAGGAGAGAAAACUUGGAAGAUCUAGGCAUUCUUACAGGAAGAGAGUUACAAUGCAAGCCCAAAAAGAAGCUCUGCCUGAUAUGCAAUGCAAAGACAAGUUCCUUUUUCAGAGUGUCAUUGCAAGUCAUGGUGCAACCACAAAGGACCAUGUAUUUUCUCUAGGAGUGGAGCACAUCAUGGAGGAUUUUUAUUUUUAUUUUUAUUGUAUUCAUGCAAUUGUAAACUUUGUCGUAAAUAUAUAUAAUUUUUAUUAUAAAGUUGUAAGCAAUUUGUUUAAUAUUAA